CAGAAUUAAUCACAUGACAGAAUCUCUUAUAACUGGAAAAUCAUUUCACACGAUGACUUGCUGAGGUUUUUCUUAAUGAAGAAAAAAGAAGUCAGUAUCAACACAGUGAACAUUAAAGGACUCUGUGUACAUGUGGAAAACGGGCAGCCAGGUCAAAGGCCAAAUCCCCAGGAGCUCGGGCAUCACUCCAGUCCUUCCACCUUUGAGUGUGACACAGCUGACUAGCUGAUGACAACACAGCCACCCUUCACUCCUGGAAAAUUCAAUAAGCUCAAAAACUGACUUUACUAUAGUAACAAAUGAAG